rnacentral:lncRNA from 1 species
UGGUCCUCACUUACUUUUAUUUUCUUUGCCAAAGUUAAUAUAAGAGGUAAAAACAACAUCAAAGCUUUAACACUGCAGGUAAAAGAAGAGCAAACUGAAGUACCAAACUAUACCAUUUACUUUAAACAUCAAAGCUGUAACACUGCAGCAACCAGUAAACAAUAGGUUUAAACAUAAGCUCAACUGUAGCAACAGAAACCCAAUGCCACUGUCAAAGCUUGAAAAAGCUUCUUGUUCAAUAUUCCUGUGCACCUGAUUUGGGCAUUAAUAGUUAAUACUAACUUCCAUCAAGGUUUCACAACGCCUAAGCUGUUCCACUUGGAUGUCAGAAAAAAGGGAACUAUUACAUGGAAUAAAAAACAAUUCAUUUAACCCAUAAGCAAUAAGUUUUUUCACUGUUCCAAAAGCAAAUAAUGAGAGUAUGAGAGAGAGAUAACAUACUAUUUAUGGCUAGUGUGUAAUUACUAUUUUUGCAUGAGGUGGUGAUACUUACCCAGUAGAUAAUAGUAACCAUUGUAGAUUUUGAACUUCAUUCGUCCACUGCUGCAUUAAGCAGAGCAAUGCUUUGUCCACUCCAAAUAGUCCCAACAGUGGGGGCUUUCCCUGUUAUUUAGCCAGAUAAUAGGCUGAAAUAAACAACCACUGAGUGCAAAUGAUAGACAAAUGAGUAAAGCACAGUACCACCUUAAGGUUACAACACAAACAAAAAAAAUAUAACUAUGAGGUAUGGUGUGUUGUUGCUCACCUCAUCCCUUAAUCAUUUGGUUGGUGGUUCGAUUCCUGCUAAUGAGAAUAGAGGUCAUUUCAUGUCCAUCUGUUUACCUCUUUGGAGAGCACCCAUGGCGAGGGAAUUAAUCA